rnacentral:tRNA from 1 species
GGUUGUGGCUUAGUGGUAGAGUGCUCCCCUAGCAUGCGUGAGCCACUGGGUUUGAUCCUCGGCACCG